CCAGACUCCUACGGGAGGCAGCAGUGGGGGAUAUUGCACAAUGGGGGAACCCUGAUGCAGCGACGCCGCGUGGGUGAAGGAGUAUUUCGGUAUGUAAAGCCCUAUCGGCAGGGAAGAAGCAAGACGGUACCUGACUAAGAAGCCCCGGCUAACUACGUGCCAGCAGCCGCGGUAAUACGUAGGGGGCGAGCGUUAUCCGGAUUCACUGGGUGUAAAGGGAGCGUAGACGGCCAAGCAAGCCAGGGGUGAAAGCCCGGGGCCCAACCCCGGGACUGCUCUUGGAACUGCGCGGCUGGAGCGCAGGAGGGGCAGGCGGAAUUCCUGGUGUAGCGGUGAAAUGCGUAGAUAUCAGGAGGAACACCGGUGGCGAAGGCGGCCUGCUGGACUGCGACUGACGUUGAGGCCCGAAAGCGUGGGGAGCAAACAGGAUUAGAUACCCUUGUAC
rnacentral:rRNA from 1 species